GUGUUAAGGGGAUGAAUGGAUGAAUCAAUUAUGAAAUUGAAUUUCCUAAAAUGCUUCUAUGAAAACAGUGAAAUGAAAGCCAGUCAACUAAAACAUGGCAGAAAUCAUCAGAAGCUGUUAAAAACAUCCCAUCCACAAUAUAAACUGCUAUAAACUUUAUGAAUCAAACAAGGGCAAGAGAUGGUGGCUGGAGCGAUGCGAAGGCACUGGAUGGCAAGCCCUCCCUCGGCCGUGGGCAGGGGGUGACUGUCCCGAGAGCAGAGGGACUCCGUGAAGGAAGCUGACUCGGUGUGACUGCACGUGAGAAGAUCUGGAUACAGCCGCAUAACCUUCCCAGGAGAUAACCUGAAAUACAUUUUAAUAUUCCUGAAGGCUGAAACCUAAAUGUAUCUUUGCUUGACCAAAGAUAGUAUAUAUAUAUAUAUAUAUGUAUAUAUAUAUAUAUAUAUGCACACAUAUAUUUAUCUCUUUUUCCUAAAUGAUGGCAGAAGUCAGUUACAACUAAUAAAGGACUGAAAUAUGGUUUUUCUGUUGUGUCAAUGACCUGGUGGACCUAACGGCAUUUCAGAGAGAGACACAGUCAUCUUCACAGCAUUAAAAUGGAAUUUCAGGCAAAUUGUUAUUGACUGGCGUGAACAAUAGAUGAAAUCCUGGAUGUCAAAUGAGAGCAAAAGCUUGAGAGGGCCCCUAAACCUUGAUCUUUUUCUUUGACUUCUCUGUUGAAACAGCAAUCACGCAGUGACUGGGGGAGAGGCGAGCUUCGUAUCAGCUAAAGAUAAUUAAUUCUCAGAGACUAAUAAAUAAAGAUAACAAUAUGUCAUAUUAUGCUUAGCACAUCUGGUACCUCAAAACCGAGAAGCAAAGAAAAACUGAAAUUUGAGUCAGCCAUCCUAACUGGAAAAAUUGCCUCGAACGUGACUCUGAACUGCUUGUCCGUGAAACCAAGCUCUGCCUGCGCCAUCCUCGCCGGCCUUCAGCUCGGGACACGGCGCUGACGCGGUGGGGAAAGGCAGACGAUCGGCUUCCGGGCGGCUGAGGAGUCGGGUGGCACCAACGCUGUAAGUGGGUCAGUAUUUUCUCUCUCCUGCCUCGGUCUUCAAAUGUCAAAGAGCCAGGGAAAGGGCAGAAAAUGUAUUGAAAGUUAAGGACAACAAAAAAGAGCAAGAGGAAAAUUAUGAGCUACUUGUCUUAAGUUGUUGUCAUGAAGAAACCGAAUUUUAGUUAUUAAAAUCAGCAUUUUAGGACUGAGAGGAAAACUGAAAUUCACUUAGUCCAGUUUUCUUACUUUGUAGACGCAGAAGCAAAUGAUCACCUGAAGUGAAAGCAUCGUUUGAAUGAACAUAGAACUUAUCUCCUAAAUAUGGGUUCUGCUGGAGCUAGCCCACUGAUUAUUUUCAGUCUCUUUGAGAUUCCAUCUUUAUAUAAAAAUUCAACUGAGUUUUUUCCCCACAAAAAAAUAUGCUACAUACUUUAAAUAAUGGUCUUUUUUUUUUUAAGGAAAAGGUGUUGCUAUAUCAGGAAGAGGCAUAGAAAUUAAAAUUAUUGGAAAAACUGCUAAACCCUGUACAAAAUGUUAUGAACACAUUCUAUAUACCAGGCAUUGAGUCCAUUGGCUGACCUAACAGAACUGACAGCCCAGUGAAGGAAAAUAGACCCCUGAAUAAAUAUGUAAUAAUCUUAAUAAAAUGUGUCAUGAUUAGGGUAUAUAAAUACUGUGAAAAGAAUUGGAAGUAAAACAUCUUGAAAUAAUAAAAAUCAAUAUAAUUUGGAAGAUUUAUUGUAUUAAUAAAUGACCUUCAUUACAUUUAUCCAAGUCAGGACGACAAAAUGGAUGCUUUAAAUGGUGAAAAGCAGGAGAGAGAAAAAUUGGGCAGUUUUCAUUUCACACACUGUCAUUUCUUUCUUUUUUUUUUUGGUGAGGAAGAUUCACCCUGAGCUAACAUCUGUUGCCAAUCUUCCUUUUUUUUGUUUUUUUUUGGCUGGAGGAAGAUUAGCCCUGAGCUAACAUCUGUGCCAAUCUUCCUCUACUUGGUAUGUGGGAUGCCUCCACAGCAUGGCUGAUGAGUGGAGUAGGUCUGCACCAGGAUCUGAACCAUGAACCCAGGCCACCAAAGCGGAGUGCCCAGAACUUUAAUCACCUGUCCACAGGGCCAGCCCCUCACAGACUGUAAUUUCUAUAUUGGCUUAUGAAACAAAUACUUCAUGUUGGAAAGAAUAUAUGAAGAGCAUAGCACCUCGUAUGGAUCAGCAGGAAUUAUGCUGGCUGCUGGAGAUGCGGAGCUAAUAAGCAAUGUCCUGGAGGGAGAAAGACAAGGGAAAUAGCAAGCUAUAAUAUUAUAUAAGUGCUAUAAUAUUAAAGCACAGAUGGCUGGGUUUUGUUUUCUUUUUUUUGUUUCUCUUGAAUCUGGAUUGGCUAGCAGAGAGAAAUCUCCUUGGAGAAUACCAAAAAGAAAGAAACUACAGCCAUAAUUAGGAGCAGAAGCCCAAGCUCUGGAAGUAGGGAACAGACAGAAUACACAUUCUUUCACCUACUCUGAGUUGGUGCAGAUCUGGCAGGUGUG
ensembl:lncRNA